GGCCGGCGCGGCACGGCUCGGGCCGGUCUGACACAGUUCUGACCAGUGCCACACGGCUCUGGCCGGCGCCACACGGCUCUGGCAGGCUUGGCACUGCUCUCUCCAGUGUGUCACGGCUCUGCCUUUCGCGGCACGGCUCUGGCCGCGACGUGUGCAGUCCCGUGGAGCUCUGCUGGGUUUCUUGAUUGACGUCUGUGUGAGCGCUGCGUUAACUACGCGGGGAAACAUCGUGUCAGGCUGAAGGGUGAUGUGGACUUGCCAAAGACUGGUACCAGCAGUAUCAAGAUCGGCCUCUGUGGAGGAGGCUCAUGGAGGACGCUGCUGGACAGUUGGAGGCAGUCGCCGUCCAACAACAGCGGAGGGCGGAGGAGCGACCGC